rnacentral:rRNA from 1 species
AGUGAACGCUGGCGGUAGGCCUAACACAUGCAAGUCGAACGGCAGCACAGUAAGAGCUUGCUCUUACGGGUGGCGAGUGGCGGACGGGUGAGGAAUACAUCGGAAUCUACUUUUUCGUGGGGGAUAACGUAGGGAAACUUACGCUAAUACCGCAUACGACCUACGGGUGAAAGUAGGGGAUCUUCGGACCUUGCGCGAUUGAAUGAGCCGAUGUCGGAUUAGCUAGUUGGCGGGGUAAAGGCCCACCAAGGCGACGAUCCGUAGCUGGUCUGAGAGGAUGAUCAGCCACACUGGAAAUGAGACACGGUCCAGACUCCUACGAGAAGCAGCAGUGGGGAAUAUUGGACAAUGGGCGCAAGCCUGAUCCAGCCAUACCGCGUGGGUGAAGAAGGCCUUCGGGUUGUAAAGCCCUUUUGUUGGGAAAGAAAAGCAGCAGGUUAAUACCCUGCUGUUCUGACGGUACCCAAAGAAUAAGCACCGGCUAACUUCGUG